rnacentral:rRNA from 1 species
GGGGAAUUUUGGACAAUGGGGGAAACCCUGAUCCAGCCAUGCCGCGUGAGUGAAGAAGGCCUUCGGGUUGUAAAGCUCUUUCGGACGGAAAGAAAUCGCUUCGACUAAUACUCGGAGUGGAUGACGGUACCGUAAGAAGAAGCACCGGCUAACUACGUGCCAGCAGCCGCGGUAAUACGUAGGGUGCGAGCGUUAAUCGGAAUUACUGGGCGUAAAGCGUGCGCAGGCGGUUUGCUAAGACAGGUGUGAAAUCCCCGGGCUUAACCUGGGAACUGCGCUUGUGACUGGCAGGCUAGAGUACGGCAGAGGGGGGUGGAAUUCCACGUGUAGCAGUGAAAUGCGUAGAGAUGUGGAGGAACACCGAUGGCGAAGGCAGCCCCCUGGGCCUGUACUGACGCUCAUGCACGAAAGCGUGGGGAGCAAAC